rnacentral:rRNA from 1 species
ACGCUCGACACCUACGGGAGGAACAGUGGGGGAUAUUGCACAAUGGGGGAAACCCUGAUGCAGCAACGCCGCGUGAAGGAUGAAGGUUUUCGGAUUGUAAACUUCUGUUCUUAGUGACGAUAAUGACGGUAGCUAAGAAGAAAGCUCCGGCUAACUACGUGCCAGCACGCCGGACGGUAAUCUGAGGCGGGCUGGACAAGGC